rnacentral:rRNA from 1 species
UACGUAUGGUGCAAGCGUUAUCCGGAUUUACUGGGUGUAAAGGGAGCGUAGGCGGCGCGUUAAGUCUGAUGUGAAAACCCGAGGCUCAACCACGGGAGUGCAUUGGAAACUGGCGGGCUGGAAUGCCGGAGAGGUAAGCGGAAUUCCUAGUGUAGCGGUGAAAUGCGUAGAUAUUAGGAGGAACACCAGUGGCGAAGGCGGCUUACUGGACGGCAACUGACGCUGAGGCUCGAAAGCGUGGGGAGCAAACAGG